CGCUCCUUGAUUUUAAUUAAUAAGGAGUCGGACCUGCCCAGUGAUAAGUAUUUAACGGCCGCGGUACUCUGACCGUGCAAAGGUAGCAUAAUCAUUUGCCCUAUAAUUGAGGGCUAGUAUGAAUGGUUUGACAAGAACAAUACUGUCUCUUUCAAAAUUUCUAGAAUUUAUUCUUUAGGUGAAGAAACCUAAAUAAAAUUAAAAGACAAGAAGACCCUAUCGAGCUUAAACUCUUUUUAUAAAAUAAAAAAAAUUAAUAAUAUUUUUUGUUAUAAAAAAUUUUGGUUGGGGCGACUAAGGAACAAAAAAAGCUUCUUUAUUUAAUAAAGACAAAUAUGUAUUGAUCCAUAAAAUCUUGAUUAAAAGAAUUAGUUACCGUAGGGAUAACAGCAUAAUCUUUUUUAAGAGUUCUUAUCGAAAAAAAGGUUUGUGACCUCGAUGUUGGACUAAAAUUUCCUAAUAGAUGCAGACGUCUUUAAGGG
rnacentral:rRNA from 1 species